GCCGAGGUGGCGGAAUGGCUUACGCGGCGGUCUCAAAAACCGUUGAGGGCAACCUCGUGUGGGUUCGACUCCCACCCUCGGCACCA
rnacentral:tRNA from 2 species